AGGCCCAACAGGGGGCUCGCGCGCUCGUUUGGGCUCGGCGGCCGAAGAAGACGGGCGCACUGGGCCGGAGCCGCCCCGCCAGGGUUGGGUCGUGGCUGCCGGGGCUCGUCGCCAGAAGGCCUCCUGGGCCGCCCUUCCGCUCUCCCGGGGCUGGGCGGCGCUGUCUGGCUCUUCCUGCCGCGCUCCGGCCACUCCCCCUCCGCCCGUCGCUUGGCCCAGCCGUGGCGGCCGUGCUCUGCACGCAGUGCCUCCCUCGGGCGUGGGUCUGCAGGAGACCCGGACAGGGCAGCGGCCGGCACUACCGCGCCGCGAUUUGCGCAGAGUUGAAGACCCUGACCAUUGAAGAGGUGGCCCCCCGCCCCGUCGGGCUCACGAGGUCAGAGUUGAUGUCCAUUUCUGUGGAGUUAACUUUGGUGAUAUUUUGAUCUGCCAUGGUCAAUAUCAGAAAAGGCCCCAUCUUCCCUUCAUACCUGGAAUGGAGUUUUCUGGGACAGUGUUGGAGACAGGCACAGAUGUCAGCACAGUUAAAGAGGUAAAUUAGUUGAAGUCUAGGGAAUCAAUAUACAUGGAGCUAUGAAAACAUGCUAACUUCAUUUGUAGCCGAAGGGUCUUGCUUCUACUGGCUUUUGCCUGUAGACACCAAAGGGAAACCUAAAUAGAAAGGUAAGAAAGAAAUUCUGAAUUGGGGAAAGGAAGUCAUUGGAAGUUCCUGGCUGCAUUAAACUUUUUAUUAUGAAUAAAAGGCGGCACCUCAGUCUUUAACUGAGAGGACAGAGAACUUGAGCCUCUUGUGAAGUUAAGACUGGGCUUCUAAUUCAAAUCAACCUUUGCCUUACUCUAUCUCAUUGUCUCCAAUGUGCUCCCUCAAAUUGGCUUGACAAUCUGGUGGUGGUAUUGAGAGAAUUACUAUUUUAUUUACUAAACAUUAACUCUGAAUAGAUAAUUAAGACCAACCUGUGUCUUUUGGAGUCAGAGACAUUUUUUUUCUUUUUUGAUUAACUCAGGAAAAGGAAUGCAAGGUCAUGCAUUUGCACAUAUCUUUAAUGGUAUGUUUCCUUUAGGGAGAUAGAGAUACAAUUAAAGAUAAGAAACUUUAAUUGUAUGGUUGAAGAAUGCGUCACUGACCAGAAGGUAUCUGUACCACUCAAGAUUAAUGGUUGAAGAUGUUUUUUCUCCUUUGUUUUUCUUUAAUUUCCACCUAUCCCUCGUUCCUGUCUUCCCCUCUCCUUCUUUUUCUUUGUGUUUGUUUGGUCAUGUCUUGUUUCUGAGCUAAGCACUUCAUUUUUUCAAAUGUUAAACUCCUUCUCUUCAUUAACGUGACACUUUGCACAGAGCUUUGUUUGCGUUGAGUGUUUUAAUGAAGAACAACAUUUUGUUUUCUGAGUCCUUGAGCUGGCUGUUCAUUUGGACUAGGUAGUUUUAGUAGAAAAACUGGUUUUGGGCAUUGAGCUGGAUGUAAUGGGCUACUCCCGGACACAAAGCUUGUGAAAGAGAGAGCCCUGGGAAUGGAGCCAGCCAGGGUAGUCUAGUAUGGUUGUGCCGGUUGUGAAUGGUGCCCCCUGGUGGUGGACAGUACACAAUUGUCCCCCCCAGCUUUAUUGAGGUAAAACUGACAUAUGAGACCAUUCACCCAUCACAGUACCGUGAUCUGUGUUCAGUUCUCUACCUGUUGGCUCCUUCCUGAGCCAGAUGCUAGCCUUGGGGUUGUGAAGUCUGAUGCAUUCAAGUCCUGAAAUCUGCUACAGCUUGCUUAGUUUUGACUUCCACUGGGCUUGAUUAUGGGCAGGUGUUUCCCUUUGCCAAUCAGUCACUGAAUCAAAUCCUAAUAUUUACUGAGCAGCCUUUAUGACUAGGUGCAUACACUCAAUCUGUAAGUCACUAUUAUCUCUUUUAUAGGACCUGUGGCAGAUUCCAAAAAAGGUCUCCCUACAAGAAGCUGCUGUCCUCCCUAUAACUUAUGGCACUGCAAUUUUUGCUCUUGAGCAUCGGGCCCAUUCCCAGCCUGGGUUUCUGAAGUAGCAUUCAUCUUUCGUUGGCACAGAGAAAUUGAAAUUGUUUUAGUGAUGGCAGCAGCUGGAGCCACAGGCCUUGCGGUGAUGUGACAACAAACGUUCUUCAGGCCAAGGUAAUAUAGCUGCUGCCGGAAGUGACGAGAAGUGCAAGGUGGCGGUGCAGAGGGGUGCGCAGUCCAGCGUGAACUACAGUUAGAGCAGGCUGAAGGAGGCAGCGAGGAAGCUGGUGGACUAGGGCGGGGUGAAUGUGGCCAUCGACAUGGUGGGAGGAGACAUCUGCCUGAAGGCUGUCCUCAGCCUGGCCUGGGAGGGCAGGAUUGUGGUGGUGGGAUUUGCUGGAGGAAACAUUGCUUCUGUACCAGCCAAGCUUCUGCUCCUGAAGAAUGUCUUUGCCAUGGGCCUGUACUGUGAUUGAUACAAAGAAAUGAACUUUCCCGUCUUCUCUAAGAGCCUAUCUUCGGUGCUUCAGUACUGCCAGCAAGGGCACAUCCAACCAUAUGUUGGAAUGGUUUCCAAGCUGGAGGAGGUCAAUGAUGCCUUCCUUCAUGUGAAACAGGGGAAAUCCAUGGGCAAGGUGCUUCUCGCUGUUAAAUAAAUCCUCGCCUGAGCAGCAAAGUUAACAUGUCCAGAUCAAAACUCCACAUCUUUCCCUAAAACCUGAUUUCCCUUCUGUGUUUCUAAAGGUGUUACCACUUUCCUUACUAAUCCAGGUUUAAAAUCUUGGCGUCACCUCUGAUUCUGUUACAACAGAAUCAACUCUUAACUAGUAUGAUUAUAUAGUUUAUUGUCCAAACCUUUUUGAGAGUAAAAGGGUGCCAUUAGUAAUUACAUCAGGAAAACAUAUCCCAGGCAAACCAGGGUGUAUGGUCAGUCUACUCAAUGCAUUAUGAAAUGCAGUGACUGCCGAGUUCUGUCAUUCCCACCUCUGAGAUAUCUCUCAUGUCCAUAUCCUCUUCUCCAUUCUGACUAAUUAAGCCUGAACUGCUAUCACCAGUGACCUUCUAACUGCUUUUCCUACCUUUAAACUACUCUCACCCCCUCCAUCCUUGUGAUGCAUUGUUGCCAUGGUGAUCGUCCCGAAGCAUAGCUCUGACUAUGGCCCAUUUCAGAAAACUACAGUGGCUCACAAUUGCCUGAUGGUGGAGUUCAGACCCCUUGAGCUAGCAUUUCAUUAUGACUGUGAUUUUUCCCCGCACCACUUUCCAGCCUUAAGUAUGUACUGAACUUUCCUGCCUCCCUCAUUUUGCCCUGCUUGUGCAAUUUUUUCCACCCUCCAUCUCUGUCAAACAUAAGCCUUCCUGACCUCUAAGACCUGCCUUUGUCAUGUGCCUUUACCCUCAGGCAAGGAGCAGUCUUUUCUCUUCCUCUUCUACCUUCCUGUAGCUUCCCUAGGAUUUGUCACUUUCUGCCUUGAAUCAUAGGGAACGACAUGUGUAGUGGAGUGAACACAGGCCUCUGAAUCCAAGAUAUGAGUUUAAAUCCCAGCUUUGGAGGUGGUUACUUAAGGUCUCAGUACCUUCAUUCUUCUCCCUAUAUAAAGUAGAUAUUACAAUAUCUAACUUAGAGAGUCAUUGGGAGCUAUACAUGCAGUGAUUGAGUAAAGCACCUGGCAUAUGGCAAGCAAUUAGCAAAUGCUGGUUACUUCUACUUCUUUCUCUUCUCUUUUCCCAAUGUAUCAUAAGUUCCUUGAGAGCAGGCACCAUGUCUGAUUUACCCUUGUAUUUCCCACAGUACUUCCCAUAGUGAGUUACCCUUAAUAAACAGUAAGUUGAAUUGAAUUUAAAUUACCUGUAAGUUUUAAAAUGCGGGAUUAAAUUAAGAAUAUGUUGCUUUGGAAACACCCAUAUGUCUAUCGAUGGAUGAAUGGAUAAACAAAAUGUGGUAUACACAUAAUGGAAUAUUAUUCAGCCUUAAAAAGGAAUGAAAUUCUGACAUGUACUACAAUAUGAUGAACCUGGAAGACAUUAUAUGUGAAAUAAGCCAGACAGAAAAGGACAAAUACUAUAUGAUUCCACUUAUAUGAAGUACCUAGAAUAGUGAAAUUCAUAGAAACAGA